GAAUUUUGGACAAUGGGGGCGACCCUGAUCCAGCCAUGCCGCGUGUGUGAAGAAGGCCUUCGGGUUGUAAAGCACUUUCGGCCGGAACGAAAUCGCGUGGGCUAACACCCCGCGUGGAUGACGGGACCGGAAGAAGCAGCCCCGGCUAACUACGUGCCAGCAGCCGCGGUAAUACGUAGGGUGCGAGCGUUAAUCGGAAUUACUGGGCGUAAAGUGUGCGCAGGUGGCCGCGCAAGUCGAGUGUGAAAGCCCCGGGCUUAACUUGGGAAUUGCGCUCGAAACUACGUGGCUAGAGUGUGGCAGAGGGAGGUGGAAUUCCACGUGUAGCGGUGAAAUGCGUAGAGAUGUGGAGGAACACCAAUGGCGAAGGCAGCCUCCUGGGCCAACACUGACACUCAUGCACGAAAGCGUGGGGAGCAAACAGG
rnacentral:rRNA from 1 species